UCUGGUGGCUCAGAUGGUAAAGAAUCUGCCUGCAAUGCAGGAGACCAGGGUUCGAUCCCUGGGUCAGAA
rnacentral:tRNA from 1 species